rnacentral:rRNA from 1 species
CCGGAUUUAUUGGGUUUAAAGGGUGCGCAGGUGGUUUAAUAAGUCAGUGGUGAAAGUCUGCCGCUUAACGGUAGGAUUGCCAUUGAUACUGUUGGACUUGAGUAUGGGUGAGGUAGGCGGAAUGUGUAGUGUAGCGGUGAAAUGCAUAGAUAUUACACAGAACACCGAUUGCGAAGGCAGCUUACUAAUCCAUUACUGACGCUGAGGCACGAAAGCGUGGGGAUCAAACAGGAUUAGAUACCCUGGUAGUCCACGCCGUAAACGAUGAUCACUCGCUGUUUGCGAUAUACAGCAAGCGGCUAAGCGAAAGCGUUAAGUGAUCCACCUGGGGAGUACGAUCGCAAGGUUGAAACUCAAAGGAAUUGACGGGGGCCCGCACAAGCGGAGGAACAUGUGGUUUAAUUCGAUGAUACGCGAGGAACCUUACCUGGGCUUAAAUGGGGAACGACAGCUGCUGAAAGGUGGCCUUCUUCGGACGUUCUUCAAGGUGCUGCAUGGUUGUCGUCAGCUCGUGCCGUGAGGUGUCGGGUUAAGUCCCAUAACGAGCGCAACCCUUACCGUUAGUUGCCAGCGCGUCAAGGCGGGGACUCUAGCGGGACUGCCACCGUAAGGUGAGAGGAAGGUGGGGAUGACGUCAAAUCAGCACGGCCCUUAUGUCCAGGGCUACACACGUGUUACAAUGGCCGGUACAAAGGGCAGCUACUCCGCGAGGGGAUGCCAAUCUUGAAAGCCGGUCUCAGUUCGGAUCGAAGUCUGCAACCCGACUUCGUGAAGUUGGAUUCGCUAGUAAUCGCGCAUCAGC